AGUAAAGUCAGCUAAAAAAGCUACCGGGCCCAUACCCCGAAAAUGUCCAUAGGGCCUUUACUA
rnacentral:tRNA from 1 species